rnacentral:lncRNA from 1 species
CAGCACUUAACUCAAAUGCUUAAACUUGCUUUAGUUUAGGAUCCAAAAUUUUCCUCAGUGAGUACGACUAAGUGAAUCCUAGAUCUUGUAUUGUUACUAGUCCAAGUUUCAUUGUUUGGACUGUGAUGUAACAAGGCUUCAUUUUUUGGGUUUAAGGCAACUGAAAGGCUAUAGUGUUUGGUGGUGUGAGAGUUAGUGGGAUGUCAAAAAGAAUAAGUUGUUAUCUUUUGACACGGGCUCCCCCUUAAGAUCAAGUGGCUGAAUAAUGGCCCUGUUUCAACAAUCACAAAGAGUCUCUCACCAUUUUCUUAAAAUUUAUUAGCAACACGAACUCGAGAUUCUAAACAAGGACAAGUAUACGGGGGCAUACUAGACAAACACGUUUGCAAGAGUGGUCAUCCCCAUAAGAACAAUUUUCCUUUUCAACCUGUUAACUGCAUAGAAAACUUCAUCGUUGUAGAAUCCAUAAAGGACAAAAUUCGCAAGUUACUCCUUAAAAGGCACGUGUAGGUAAGUUAAAGGCCAAUCAAGUACUGCACUUUCCUAAAUCGACCGAUUCCAAAUGUUAGCAUCCCCACAUUGAUGUUGACCAAAUUGCUUAUUAAUUGAUCCACAAAACAAAAGUCCCCUAAAAGAUCUAGAUAAGAGAAGUGAUGUUAAAGAAGAUAUGCUUGUC